rnacentral:rRNA from 1 species
UGGGGAAUAUUGGGGCAAUGGGGGAAAGCCCUGACCCAGCAACGCCGCGUGAAGGAAGAAGGCUUUCGGGUUUGUUAAACUUCUUUUAUCCACGGGAGCGAAGGACGUGACGGUACCUGGAGAAAAAGCAACGGCUAACUACGUGCCAGCAGCCGCGGUAAUACGUAGGUUGCAAGCGUUGUCCGGAUUUACUGGGUGUAAAGGGCGUGUAGGCGGAGAAGCAAGUUGGGAGUGAAAUCCAUGGGCUCAACCCAUGAACUGCUCUCAAAACUGUUUCCCUUGAGUAUCGGAGAGGCAAGCGGAAUUCCUAGUGUAGCGGUGAAAUGCGUAGAUAUUAGGAGGAACACCAGUGGCGAAGGCGGCUUGCUGGACGACAACUGACGCUGAGGCGCGAAAGCGUGGGGAGCAAACAGGAUUAGAUACC